GUCGGUUCCGUUCGGUCACGGCUCCCGGGCUGCCCCCACCCGCCCGCGGUGUCCGGUAUGGCCCGUGGAGCUCCGGGGACCGGGGCACUCGGGGUGUUCCCAUAGGGAUGGCUCCCGGUACAUACCGGGAGCAGGAGGGAGCCUGGAGAUGGUGGAGGCGCAGCUUCAAUCCCGUCGAAUUCCCGGUCCUGGGAAGCUGUGAGAGCAUCAAUGAGGAAUUUCAGUCCCUGCAGGCUCAAUGCAACGGAGUUAUCAAUCCCGUCAUCGCGGGCUCGCUGCCAGGGAAAUUAGUUUGGAGCAGUGCCUGACAAAGUGCCAAGUCAACUGCCAUGUUCCUCCAGCUGGCUCAGCCCCUCCGAGCUUGCUCCUUUUGUUAACGGCGAGAGAGGCCCCGGAGCCCCGACAGCUCUUUCCUGCCAUCCCUACGCGCUCCCGGCUCCGCUGGGGCUGGGACCCGGCGCUGGGCUUGGGAUCCAGGGCUGGCACCGCACCCAGGACUGGGAUCCAGGGAUAUCCCAAGCCGUGCGGAGCCAGGACUCUGCCCACGAGGUGAGAAGUGCUUGAGGAGGCAGGGAUUGCCAAGAGGCCGAGCGCCAUCUGCACCCAGGUGGCUCCUGCCCCUCUGGGGACACUGGACACAAAAGGGGACGUGGAUGGGGACAACCGAGAGAUCAGAUGCCUGAAGCCAAGGGAAGAUGCUGCUUCGAGCCCCUGUGGGACCCCUAAAGGGAAUUGAGGACGCAGAGCCCGGCGGUGCCUCGUCAUUCCUCAUCCCUCAUCCUGACGGGUGCCGCCUCCUCUCAGGAUCACCGAGUGCUUUACAAACAGCAUCAAUAUUUAACCAUCAUUAAAGCAGCGCUCAGGAUGCUCCUGGGUUGAGUUAACUCCACAGCCCAGCCUGGCUGCUGGCUCCAUGGACCGGGAAUGGGCAGGGAUGCAGCAGCCGCAGUGAUGCUCCUAUGCAGGCUCCUCCAGGGACUGUUCUGGCUGCUCCUGGUGUGCUUCCAGCAGCAAAUCCCCUGGGCACAGCCCGAAGCUGCCCCCUUGGCAGGGCUGGAGGGUGGAAAGCCCCCCAGAAUAAGGUGGGUUAAUCCCUGGUGCUGUGGCUACAGUCACAUCCACGGUGUGGAGCAGGGAUGCGGUGCUGAGCGCAAGGUACCACAUCCCUCUCCAUCCCCUUUCCCAGGGGAAAAGAGGCUGGGACCAGUUUGCUCUCUCCCAA